AGAGUUUGAUCCCGGCUCAGGACGAACGCUGGCGGCGUGCCUAAUACAUGCAAGUAGAACGCUGAAGAGAGGAGCUUGCUCUUCUUGGAUGAGUUGCGAACGGGUGAGUAACGCGUAGGUAACCUGCCUUGUAGCGGGGGAUAACUAUUGGAAACGAUAGCUAAUACCGCAUAACAAUGGAUGACACAUGUCAUUUAUUUGAAAGGGGCAAUUGUUCCACUACAAGAUGGACCUGCGUUGUAUUAGCUAGUAGGUGAGGUAAUGGCUCACCUAGGCGACGAUACAUAGCCGACCUGAGAGGGUGAUCGGCCACACUGGGACUGAGACACGGCCCAGACUCCUACGGGAGGCAGCAGUAGGGAAUCUUCGGCAAUGGGGGCAACCCUGACCGAGCAACGCCGCAUGAGUGAAGGAGGUUUUCGGAUCGUAAAGCUCUGUUGUAAGUCAAGAACGGGUGUGAGAGUGGAAAGUUCACACUGUGACGGUAGCUUACCAGAAAGGGACGGCUAACUACGUGCCAGCAGCCGCGGUAAUACGUAGGUCCCGAGCGUUGUCCGGAUUUAUUGGGCGUAAAGCGAGCGCAGGCGGUUUGAUAAGUCUGAAGUUAAAGGCUGUGGCUCAACCAUAGUUCGCUUUGGAAACUGUCAAACUUGAGUGCAGAAGGGGAGAGUGGAAUUCCAUGUGUAGCGGUGAAAUGCGUAGAUAUAUGGAGGAACACCGGUGGCGAAAGCGGCUCUCUGGUCUGUAACUGACGCUGAGGCUCGAAAGCGUGGGGAGCGAACAGGAUUAGAUACCCUGGUAGUCCACGCCGUAAACGAUGAGUGCUAGGUGUUGGAUCCUUUCCGGGAUUCAGUGCCGCAGCUAACGCAUUAAGCACUCCGCCUGGGGAGUACGACCGCAAGGUUGAAACUCAAAGGAAUUGACGGGGGCCCGCACAAGCGGUGGAGCAUGUGGUUUAAUUCGAAGCAACGCGAAGAACCUUACCAGGUCUUGACAUCCCGAUGCUAUUUCUAGAGAUAGAAAGUUACUUCGGUACAUCGGUGACAGGUGGUGCAUGGUUGUCGUCAGCUCGUGUCGUGAGAUGUUGGGUUAAGUCCCGCAACGAGCGCAACCCCUAUUGUUAGUUGCCAUCAUUCAGUUGGGCACUCUAGCGAGACUGCCGGUAAUAAACCGGAGGAAGGUGGGGAUGACGUCAAAUCAUCAUGCCCCUUAUGACCUGGGCUACACACGUGCUACAAUGGUUGGUACAACGAGUUGCGAGUCGGUGACGGCGAGCUAAUCUCUUAAAGCCAAUCUCAGUUCGGAUUGUAGGCUGCAACUCGCCUACAUGAAGUCGGAAUCGCUAGUAAUCGCGGAUCAGCACGCCGCGGUGAAUACGUUCCCGGGCCUUGUACACACCGCCCGUCACACCACGAGAGUUUGUAACACCCGAAGUCGGUGAGGUAACCUUUGGAGCCAGCCGCCUAAGGUGGGACAGAUGAUUGGGGUGAAGUCGUAACAAGGUA
rnacentral:rRNA from 1 species